GGCUAAUGGAAAGAAGGGUAUGAAAAUUGGGUAAUAUUUCUGGACGGGAAAAAUUACCUUCGAUCAUCCUUUUUACCUUCGAUCGUAGAACGACGAUAACAACUAUUGCUAUUUUUUCGCUUUCUGGUGUCCGUCUCCUCUAUUGCACCUCGUCGUUGGAUCGGGACUCCCAUGGGCGGGCAGUGAUGGCACAACCGGCGGGCCGGCCGAUGGUGGCAGAUGCCGCGGCGAGACGGGCGGAAUGCGCAGCGGCAGCAGCAGCCGGGGUUCGGGCAGACGGUGGCGGGGAUCUUGCUGAUGGCGCUGCUCUCGUACUUCGCCAUGAAGUUCUUUGGCCCCAAGAGGCCCGCGGCCGUUCCAGCUCAUCUCCAAUCUCUUCCACAAGGGCGACUCGUUGGACAUGUGGGUUUAUCUCUCUGAGAACGAGAAGCUUAAGGAUUUUGGUGAUGAGUAUGCCCUUGUUUGGCAUGAGUCUAAUAUACCUUGUUUGGCAUGAUUUAGGCCUUGUACGAUAAGCGAUCUAUUAUAUUUUGCUGAUAGAAUUCUUUUCAUUAUAUGGUUUUGGUGCAUUCUUUUGUUCUUAUUAUCUUGCUAGUCCCCUAGGCAUAUUUUAGCCAUUGAAAAAACAUGAUUGCCUGUGUACCUUCUCUCUUCACAGAUUUUGGUGUUUUCACACAACUUCUUUAUGUUGUUGUUACAGUUGAAGAAUGAUAAUCAUGUUGAAGCCAAGGAUAAGGGCCCUGUAGAUUGUGUUUCAUAUUGGAAACCAAAUAUCACAAUGAACUUUGUUGAUAAUUUUACAAGGUAACAUUCCCUCCAAAGAAAAAGAAAAAAAAGGAGUUGACCGACAAGACUUGGAUACUUGUUAACAAUACGUACAAGUAUGACAGCUGUAGACUCUUUAUUUUAAAUUAAGCCAUAAAAGAUUGUGACAGUUUCCUUUUUUUGCAUGCUAAAGUUGUCUGGCUGCUGUCUGAUUCUUGAUGCCCCUGAUCUGUAUAUAUAUUUUGGAAGUCCUUUUUGUAUUAUAAAUCAAAGAUCAAGUUUAUUUGCUGCCAUUAUUUGACCUUUGACCUUUUGUUUGUCUUGAUGCUGUCUUUAACAUCCCUUAAUUAUCAUACUUUUAUACCAAAAAUUUGUGGUGUUAACAUGCCCUUUUGUCAGAUUCUGUAGAAAAUUGGAACGAGCCUAAAACCUUUCUUGCUUGAGGAUGGCUCAUAUAUAUAUUGGUUGAUGUGUGAGUUAAGUCAAGAUAGACUGUGGUGUUUGUUGGAACUACUAGCUAUAUGUGAGAAUAAUUGCUGGAAAAUGAUGAUUUCUUGUAGAACGACAAGAAACAAUGAAUCAAGAGGUGAUACUUGGGGGAGUGGGGUGGAUCUUAGGUAAAAGGUGGUCCACCUUUACCUUUCUUCUUUCAAGGUGAGACACCAAACCUAGCAACAUAGGCCACAAGCCCUGCAAUGCUAUCCUAUACCACAAUUAGGCUACAAGAGACAUUCAAGUCAAUUUAAACCCACAAACCUACCAAAGUGAAUCAUCCAUCAUGAGUUGAGAAAAUGCAUACUUUUCAUAGGAUGGGAUUUAACUCCAAACUUUCCACUAGGGAGAGAGAUGCUAAUCAUUGAAGGCAAUGGAUGUGGCACAGUGAUUGAAAAAGGCGCUCGGGCAAGGCGAGGCGAGGCCCGAGCGCCUCGCUAAUGUCCCAGGCGGCGCGCUUCAAACAGGCGCCGCCUGGGCGCUCACCCGAUCCCAGGCGCUGGGCGCUUCGGGCGAGCGCCUGGGUAAACCAAGUGACCGAACCAGGAUUUUAGGUCUGGUUCGGUCUUGGUUCGGUUGUUAGUUGGUUCAAUUGAACAAACUAAACCGAUAUAACCCUUACCCAACCAUAACCCGCUGCCGCUCCCGAUCCCGAUCCCGAUCUCGCUGCUCGUCGCUCCUGCUCCCGCUGCCGCUGCUCGCCGCUGUCGCUGCUUGUGCCUCCCGCGAGCCCUCCCGCUGCUCGCGCCUCCCACCUUCCCGCUGCCGUUGCCGCCGCUCGUCGCUGCUUCCUCGUUUCUCCGUCAGGCUCAGUAUACAGUAUACUCUUAAUAUUAAGUUUAUUUGAAUUUUGAAAUGAUUAAUUUUCAAUACUGUUAAUAGAUUAAUAAUAUAUUAUUUUGAUUUUAAUGUUAUUAAUUUUUAUUUAUUUGAAAUUAUUGCUAGGUUUCAACAUAAAUGACUUUGAUGUAAAAUUUUAUUGUUUUGAAUUUUGAAACUUUUUGUUAAUGUGACAUUGUGAUUUUGUAUCUUAGAUUUUCUUAAUUUAAUAGCAUAUUUUUAUUUAAAAUUUUAAAUAAUUAUAUUUAUUAAUUAUAUUAUAUAUUUUUAUAUUUUAGCGCCUCGCUUCGUUCGGGCGAGCGCGUGAGCAAGCGCCUAGCGCCUCGGGUGUUUUUGGACCUUGGCGCCUUUUGGCGCCUAGCACUUUUUAAAUCACUGAUGUGGCAUACCUGCUACCUUCUUAUAAGACUGUAUAUGGGUAGUGUAGUAAGAAUGAAUUUCUAAUGAGGUCUUGAUGUGAAGAACUAUUCAUUGGAAGAUGCCAAAGAAAUAGGUCGUAUGGAAUACUUAACCUUAUAAAAAAUAUGUACAAAUUGGUAUGUUUAGGAUGUCAAAUCAAGGAUAGGUAUGUAGGUUGUGCUGGGUGGGAAGGGACAAACAUGGUGCACUGGUUAUGGCAUGUCAUGUGUCAAUGUGACUGUCCCUACCAUGUCUACCUACUGUCACUGCCCUGUACCACCACAAUCAUGCUGGUUGAAGGUGAUACAUCUGUGAAUGUUUGCGAAUUGGAGAAUUAUUUUACGCAAGCUCAUAAGCUGCAAUUCAAUGGGAAAUAUCUUAGACAAACAAUGUCUCUAAGCAUGAAGGAAGUUCCUGUGUUUGAAGGUGAACAUAGAAUACUUUUUUAUGUGUUAUGGUGUGGCUGCUCCAUCCCAAAUUUGUCCACUUCGAGUUUGAUAAUAAAUAAAUGGUCAACUUGAUCGACAUUGCAUCAUUAUUGAAGAUAUGCUAUAUGAUGUCAUUUAAAAAUAUUGGGUUCUUUAUGUGUAUGCAACAUAGAUGUAACAAACAUUUAAUGUAGUGCAAGUAAUGGUGAGUAGAGUUUAGAUGUCAUCGUUGUCAUUUUUCAGCUGGCAUGCAUUUAUUGCUAGAACUUGCAUACUAUUGAAAUUAAUUUGUCAAUUAAAAUUCAUUCUCACUGAGAAUUUGUGCAUUUAAGGCUUGUUUAUUGCUAUUUGUGUGCCGAAGCUAAGUUAUUUAUACUUGCUGAUAAAGCUUCACGUUGUGACAGUAUAUGCUUGACAAUUGAUGAGAUAUUCAUUUGCUGUUUUGUUGUCUUCUCUCUUCUGUAAUAUACAUUGGUUCUGUUUUUCAUGCCUUACUGCCAUAAGUCUGCUGUUUGUUACUGCAUUCAGAGUAUAAUGCUUCAAGCAUCAAGUAUGAUAUUUGAUCAAUCGAACAUAAGCAUUCAUUUUUGUCCUUAUUGCUGAAUUGUAGCAUAAGUUUAGAUGACGUUGCACUGUCUUGAGAUGUUGGGAGAGAUUUAAGAUGGCCAUCAUUUAUCUUACCUUUGCUGGUUCUAGCUUUAGUUCUGAUCUCCUGGAGUUUGGGACAUCAGUAUGUGAUUUGCACCAGUAAUGAGGUGUGGCAAGCUUGAUUCUGGAUGAAAAGGUUUCAUCUCUCUGCAGUGGGAGGAAAAAGAUACGUCAUGCUUACAGCAGUAUGCCAUUGCUUUUGAUGAGAAAGCGCUGCACCAGUUCAGGUGAGAGUGGAAGAUCAAGUCACUGCAAUCUUUGCAGGCUGAAAUAUAACCAUCCCUGCUACUGCAGAUGCCAUCACUGCAAGUCCAACCUCUGGUGGCUGGGAGCUCCUUCUUUAUGAUAUGAACUUGAUCUGCUGCAGGGCACAGUGUUCCACUGCUGGAUAAAAAUUGCUCUCUGAGUUUCACAUUUCUAUAAACUUGCCUCAGUUAUUUAGCAUUGGAGCUUUAGCUUCUAUCUUCACUUGUGGCAGUGACCAACAUAUCAGGAUAAAUGGAUCCAAGUGACCGACUUGUGGUGUGCUUUUUCUUUCACUUGCCACCUCAUGAUAUACAUAUAUAUAUAUAUGUGAAUAACACAGUGGAACUGAGAUAUCAAUGCGCUUGUUGGUGAA